AUUUCCCAGCAUCCCAUUGCAAUGAGGCUCCUGGCCAGUGGGAGCAGGAAAGGGCACUUUCUCUUCUUCUUUCUCUCUUCCUGGCUGGAGGGCAGACUUGGUGACAGCCAUCUAGGACCAUGAAGGCAGGCUUACUCCCCGAUGGAUGGCAGAGCCCCAGGUAGAUAGAGCCUGGGUCCUGACUCCAGUGAGGUGCCUACAGUCCUGGGCUGCAAACUCUUGGACUUCUACUCAAAAGAGGAGAAAAC
rnacentral:lncRNA from 10 species